rnacentral:rRNA from 1 species
UACAGAGGUGGCAAGCGUUGUUCGGAAUUACUGGGCGUAAAGGGCGCGUAGGCGGCCUUCUAAGUCAGACGUGAAAUCCCCCGGCUUAACCUGGGAACUGCGUCUGAUACUGGGAGGCUUGAGUAUGGGAGAGGGAUGUAGAAUUCCAGGUGUAGCGGUGAAAUGUGUUGAUAUCAGGAGGGACACCCAUGGCGAAGGCAGCAAACUGGGCAUCAACUGACGCUGAGGCGCGAAAGCGUGGGUAGCAAACAGG